GGAAAUGCUCUAUGGCCAUGUCACCCUGGACGCGCUUCAUCAGGUCUGAUCUCAGAAGAAAAGGGCCAGGACUGGUUACUACUUGGAUGGGGAAAAGUUGGAAACCAGCAUAUCAUUUGCU
rnacentral:rRNA from 1 species